rnacentral:RNase_P_RNA from 1 species
GCAACAGUUCGCUUUGUCGUCAGUCAGUUGACUGAAGGAAAGUCCGGGCAACACAGUGCAAAUUGCUUCCUAACGGGAAGAGGGUUUUGAGUAUUUAAUAUUCAAAAUUCAUAGCCAGUGCCGCAGAAAAUAACUUUUCCAUUUCGGUGGAAUAAAGGUGAAAACGUGAGGUAAGAGCUCACGAUAUUUGGUGGUGACAUUAAAUAUGGGUAAACCUCAGUUGUUGAAAGACCAAAUAUACUCUGGUUAAGAGUUGCACGCUCAAGCUUAGGCACCAGAGAGGGUAGGUUGAUUGAUUCCAUGGGCAAUCAUGGAACUAGAUAAAUGACAAAGAUGCUAAUUUAUUAGCAUACAGAACCCGGCUUAUAGAACUGUUGCUUUU